rnacentral:sRNA from 1 species
GCUGGGUGCAGUGGCCUGUAAUCCCAGCCACGUGGGAGGCUGAGGCAGGAGGAUUGCAAGUUGCAGGCCAACCUGGGCAACUUAGUAAGACCCUGUCUCAA